rnacentral:rRNA from 1 species
GACGAACGCUGGCGGCGUGCUUAACACAUGCAAGUCGAACGGAAAGGCCCCUUUGGGGGUACUCGAGUGGCGCACGGGUGCGUAACACGUGAGUAACCUGCCCUUGACUUCGGGAUAACUUCAGGAAACUGGGGCUAAUACCGGAUAGGAAUCCUUGCUGCAUGGUGGGGGUUGGAAAGCUUCGGCGGUUUUGGAUGGACUCGCGGCUUAUCAGCUUGUUGGUGGGGUAGUGGCUUACCAAGGCUUUGACGGGUAGCCGGCCUGAGAGGGCGACCGGCCACAUUGGGACUGAGAUACGGCCCAGACUCCUACGGGAGGCAGCAGUGGGGAAUAUUGCACAAUGGGCGGAAGCCUGAUGCAGCAACGCCGCGUGCGGGAUGACGGCCUUCGGGUUGGAAACCGCUUUCAGCAGGGGCGAAGCUUGUGGUGACGGUACCUGCAGAAGAAGCACCGGCUAACUACGUG